UACGUAGGGGCGAGCGUUGUCCGGAAUUAUUGGGCGUAAAGGGCGCGCAGGCGGUUUCUUAAGUCUGAUGUGAAAUCUCGUGGCUUAACCACGAGCGGUCGUUGGAAACUGGGAAACUUGAGUACAGAAGAGGAGAGUGGAAUUCCACGUGUAGCGGUGAAAUGCGUAGAGAUGUGGAGGAACACCAGUGGCGAAGGCGGCUCUCUGGUCUGUAACUGACGCUGAGGUGCGAAAGUGUGGGGAGCAAACAGGAUUAGAUACCCUGGUAGU
rnacentral:rRNA from 1 species